rnacentral:pre_miRNA from 1 species
AGUAUGAUUCCUGGGUUGUAUGGAAAGACUAUGUUUAGCCUUGCAAGAAACUGCCAAACUGUCUUUCAAAGUGACUGUCCCAUUUUGCAUUUCCUUCCAGCAAU